UUUUGAUUGUUGUUGAUCUUUUUUUUUUUUGGUGGGUCCUUCCCUCCAGCUGGUUAACUGAAGGUCACUCCAUCCACCACAUCUUGUAUUCUGUUGUUCAAGUGUGGGCAUGUUGUGUUGAAACUGGUUCUUCCAUCAGGAAACAAUAAACAAAUGGGACCUCAUCAAAA